GUUUUACCCCCUUUUGUAGAAAUUCCAUUGCUUCCUCGUCAAAGCAGUUUCUUCGCGGAAUAGGAUCCACUGGAAAUGGAUACACGCCACGGAACUUAGGCGGCUCAUUCACGUGGAAAUGAGCUACAGUCACUGAAGAGGACACUUUCUUCCGAUCCUGAAGUUUCCUCUUGAAAAGUGGUUUCACUACAUUUAUAGCAAGAGACAUAGACGCUCAGAGCCAAAAUGUGAUGUACAGGGAAUACUUGUAGGUGGAAGUUUUCAUGGGACCACAUGAAGUUUCUUCAGACGCACUCGUGAAACUCAAGAGAAAUGCAAGU